GGACAAUGGCAGUAAGUAUAUGAAUAGGGAUGCUCUGUAAUACACUAGUAAUUAACACUUCCUUACCCCCGAAGGAUAAUAUGUUACCUUUCUAAGCUUGAAGUUUGUCUCUUAUCUUUUUAAUGAGAUCUGCAUAAUGCUCUUUCCUUUUUCUAGCAUGAGUAAUGGGGCAACCAAGAUAUUUAAAGGAAAACUCAGCCUUAGAAAUUCCUGUACAUUCCUCCACCAU
rnacentral:lncRNA from 1 species